rnacentral:rRNA from 1 species
GACGAACGCUGGCGGCGUGCUUAACACAUGCAAGUCGAACGGAAAGGCCCUGCUUUUGUGGGGUGCUCGAGUGGCGAACGGGUGGGUAACACGUGAGUAACCUGCCCUUGACUUUGGGAUAACUUCAGGAAACUGGGGCUAAUACCGGAUAGGAGCUCCUGCUGCAUGGUGGGGGUUGGAAAGUUUCGGCGGUUGGGGAUGGACUCGCGGCUUAUCAGCUUGUUGGUGGGGUAGUGGCUUACCAAGGCUUUGACGGGUAGCCGGCCUGAGAGGGUGACCGGGCACAAUGGGACUGAGGUAAGGCCCAGACUCCUACGGGAGGCAGCAGUGGGGAAUAUUGCACAAUGGGCGGAAGCCUGAUGCAGCAACGCCGCGUGCGGGAUGACGGCCUUCGGGUUGUAAACCGCUUUCGCCUGUGACGAAGCGUGAGUGACGGUAAUGGGUAAAGAAGCACCGGCUAACUACGUG